AAUAAGAUGCCUGAAUAUAUUAAAGGAUUAUUUUGAUGUAAUAAAUUAUGUAAAUAUUUUACUCUUAUUA
rnacentral:tRNA from 1 species